rnacentral:tRNA from 1 species
GAUUUUAUAGUUAAUUUUAACUUUAGAUUGCAAAUCUGAAAAAAUAAGAUUUUUUUUUAUUAAAAUCU